CACUUCUUGACAUGGAAAUCAUACCUAUUCAAAGGGAUAGGGUCGGUUCGGCCGGAUUUUACACAAGUGUUGCGUGGAUGUCUUCAGCUCGUGUCCUGAGAUGUUGGGUUUAGUCCCCCAACGAGCGCAACCCUCAUCCUUAGUUGCUAUCAGGUAAUGCUGAGUACUUUAAGGAAACUGCCAUUGAUAACCUGGACGAAGGUGAGGAUGAUGUCCAGUCAUCGUGGCCUUUAUGGAGUGGGCUACCCACGUGCUACAAUGGUGUCUACAAUGGGCUGCAAGGUGCGCAAGCCUAACCUAAUCCCUAAAAGACAUCUCACUUCCGAUUGUACUCUGCAACUCGAGUACAUGAAGUUGGAAUCGCUAGUAAUCCUGGAUCAGCAUGCCACGGGGAAUACGUUCUC
rnacentral:rRNA from 1 species